GCCAUUUUAGUCUUCAGUAUCCAGCCACAUUUUUGCUGAAUGCAUUCAAUUAAUUUUGCUGGAAUCCUUCCUUUUGUUUACGCCUUCUAAAGCAUCGUCUUUGUGUGAAGGAAAGCUUCAAGUUUUCACAGUUUCCGGUUGGCCAUCCUAAACACACAGACAGGUGGGAAAGACGUUCGACAUCCAACUGGUCAGUGGAUCCACCAAUGAUCUCUCAUGUGUGACAAUAUAACUUCUCUGUGCAACAACACCUGCUAUAGCCUAGAGAGCCAGACAUCUCGAACAGCACUGAUGGAGGAUGAGUUGAGCUUGGGGACACUGCCGGCCAAUUUCCCUCAUUACCCUAAAUCCUCCAGUGCUCGCAGAGAGAUGAUGUCCAUUUUAAUAACAAGUUGUGAGACAAUUUUCAAAAGGCAGUAAAAGCAGCACACAUAAUGAAUGACAGUGUUGGGGAGCAGUGUAGACUGACCUUCUGAAGGCUUAUGAGUACUGCUCAUACAGAGAACAACUAGGGAGAAAUAAAAGCAUGAUUAGUUUAGCAAUACAGAAUAUAAAAUGAAGUUUAAAAUAAAAACAAAAUAAGAAUUCAGGUGCAUACAUAAAAUGACAAUAUUUUCAUCAGCGGGCUGGGAUUGCCUCCACACAGGUCUCACAGACUGUAGAGACCUAUAGAGACAGAGCGCAACGCGUCAUACACUGAAAGCCACGCCCAGCGGCGGGGAAAACAAUCUGUGCCACAAUACAACCCAAGAGCUGAAACGCUAACAAAGUGCUUGUAGCUAGCAAAAAACAUUACAUUUAAGCAUUUCAAAGGAUUAUUUUAGCCACCUUUGUAUACCAGAGAAGACACGUUAGCUGUUAGAAAGCUAAUGUUAGCUUUGUGUUAGCAAGCUAAGGCACUUGUAAACACAAUACUGCAUACCUUUCUAAAUUUAUCCACAUUCCACUAGAACACAAGUUGCAUACUGUCAAAAUAUUUUAACUUCUAGUAAUAUAGUUAGCCUUAAACUGUUAUAACAAUUAAUGAUGCCUCAUGUCGUAUUGCCUGUAUCCACUUUUGUCUUCUUAAAAGCUCAGUUUGUUGGUUCGGCAGCUUAUGAAAACUUAGUUAUGUUUUUUUUUUUACGCUGUUGUUAGUGUAUCCUACUACACAGCAGCUUCAGGCAUUUGACGAGGAGGCACUUUCACGCAGUGUUGUAGUACUUUGGUCUUGGUCUCGAGACUGGUCUCAAGGCCACUUUUUGAAGGUCUCAUCUCAGACUCGACUGCAUUUUUACUCAGUCUUGUAUCGAUUUCAGAUAAAAAGGACUCAGGAUUUUAUUUCAAGUACAGUCAAGACCACAACUGCCUUUUGAU